AACGCACCUUGCGCCUCUUGGUAUUCCGAGAGGCAUGCCUGUUUGAGUGUCAUGAAACAUCAAUCCCUCGGGUUUCCGACCCGAGGGAGCGGACGUGGGCGCUGCCUCCCUGGCUCGCCUCAAAGGACUCAGUGGGAAGAUCCCAAAGCCUGACGUGAUAAGUUUCGUCUCGGCCGAGGGCGACGCCUGCUCCCAACCACCACUAUCUCUUGACUGACCUCAAAUCAGGUAGGGCUACCCGCUGAACUUAA
rnacentral:misc_RNA from 1 species